CCUACGGGUGGCAGCAGUGGGGGAUAUUGCACAAUGGGGGAAACCCUGAUGCAGCGACGCCGCGUGUGGGAAGACGGUCUUCUGGAUUGUAAACCACUGUCCCCAGGGACGAAAAUGACGGUACCUGGGGAGGAAGCUCCGGCUAACUACGUGCCAGCAGCCGCGGUAAUACGUAGGGAGCAAGCGUUGUCCAGAAUUACUGGGUGUAAAGGGAGCGUAGGCGGGGAUGCAAGUUGGGUGUCAAAACUACCGGCUCAAACGAUGGUCGCACUCAAAACUGCAGCUCUUGAGUGAAGUAGAGGCAGGCGGAAUUCCUAGUGGAGCGGUGAAAUGCGUAGAUAUUAGGAGGAACACCAGUGGCGAGGGCGGCCUGAUGGGCUUUUACUGACGCUGAGGCUCGAAAGUGUGGGGAGCAAACAGGAUUAGAUACCCCUGUAGUC
rnacentral:rRNA from 1 species